rnacentral:tRNA from 1 species
GCCUUCGUGGUGUAGUGGUCAACACACUCGGCGCAUAUUCGAGAGGUCCGUGGUUCGAGUCCCGGCGACGGCA